AGCGGAGGGAUCAUUA
rnacentral:rRNA from 18 species